UGAGGAAUAUUGGUCAAUGGGCGAGAGCCUGAACCAGCCAAGUAGCGUGCAGGACGACGGCCCUAUGGGUUGUAAACUGCUUUUAUGUGGGGAUAAAGUGCGUGACGUGUCAUGCAUUGCAGGUACCACAUGAAUAAGGACCGGCUAAUUCCGUGCCAGCAGCCGCGGUAAUACGGAAGGUCCGGGCGUUAUCCGGAUUUAUUGGGUUUAAAGGGAGCGUAGGCUGUCUAUUAAGCGUGUUGUGAAAUAUACCGGCUCAACCGGUGGCUUGCAGCGCGAACUGGUCGACUUGAGUAUGCAGGAAGUAGGCGGAAUUCAUGGUGUAGCGGUGAAAUGCUUAGAUAUCAUGACGAACUCCGAUUGCGCAGGCAGCUUACUGUAGCAUAACUGACGAUGAUGCUCGAAAGUGCGGGUAUCAAACAGG
rnacentral:rRNA from 1 species